rnacentral:lncRNA from 1 species
GGAAAAUAAACUGCAUAGUUUAAAAAGAUAACUCUUUUCUUGGUUUAGCCGUGUGCAUACCUGUCCUCUCCACGGGGGCGGCGAAGACGCCGCUGCUUUCGUUGACGUGGUAGGUCUUCUUGUCAAACUGCAGAGUGGGCUCGUCUUCGGUGUCGUUGAUGUUAACCACAGCCCGAGUGUUCCUGCCCAGCAGGGCGUACACCGGCAUGCUCAGCUCCACGUGGAAGCUCUCCAUCCCUUCAAACUGCUUGUCGUCGUUGAUGAUGAUGUUGCACACCUUGAUCUCCUAGAGAUCUCUGUGAUCUGCAGAAAAGUAUUUUUCAGUCAUUCAUUCAUUUUCUUUGCCGUUUUAUCCCUUUCGGGGUCACGGGGCUGCUGGAGCCUAUCCUGGCCACUUGUGGGUGAAGGCAGGGACACCCUGGACAGGUCGCCAGUCUGUCACAGGGUCACAAUCACACUCCCAUGCAUACUCACACCUAUGGACAAUUUAGAUGAACCAAUUAACCGAAGCCGAAGCCCCGGAGAAAACCCACGCAAGCACGGGGAGAACAUGCAAACUCCACACAGAAAGGCCCCCCCAUUGGUGUUCUGGUUCAGAAGGAAAGUAGACUCAGAAUUUUUAGGUUUAGACCUGAGAUGGAUGUUUUUGAGGAAAGACUUAAAGCAGUGGAUGGUCCGAUUCCAAGAAUGGCACUAAUCUGGAAACACUGUAAAAGAGACACAUGAGACCCAUGCAGACACCUGUUUUAGGGGAGUUUUGUGAGUUUAAAAUGUCCGAAGUUGGGUUGUGAUUUCUAGAAAUGCUGAAAAAUGAAGAAGUGUUGUUCUUGUGUUGUUAUGAAGUUGCAUACAUUUGUUAGAUCGUUGUUCUGAAGCAGCUUUCUGAGACCUUUAACCCCAGAUUUCAGUUGAAAUGCUUGCCACUUUGAGGAAUGUAGAAUUUUGUGAUUACUAGUUAUCUGUAAUAAAAGGCCGCACUGUGGUGAAGGGGUUAGCUUAACAGCUUUACAGCAUGAAGUUUCUACUGUGGUUCAAAUCCCAGCUGGGUCCUUUCUGUGUAAAGUUUGCAUGUUCUCCCCAUACAUGUUUAGUUUUCUCCAGCGUCUUCCCACAGUCCAGAAACAUGUUUAACAGCUUAACUAGUAUCUCUACGUUGCCCCUGGGUUUGAGUGUGUGACCCUGUGACAGACUGGCAACCUGUUCAGGCCGUACGCCUUUACCCAACAGUAGCUGGGUUGGCAUCAACAACCCUGUGACCUUAAAAGGGAUUCAACGAGUGCUAAAGAGGAAUGUAUGAAUGCAAAAGGUUUAGUAAAUGUUUCUCAAAUAGACGUCUAAAAAUAUCCACAUCCUACAGGUUGAUGAGUAGAUCUCUAUAUGCAGAAACCUUUCAGAACACUUAUGGUACCUCUAACAGAGUAACAGAACAGACUUGUCUGAGAUGUCAGUAGACGUCUACAAUAGAUGUACUGUUGUUAGGUGUCUUCUAGACAUCUUGUUUCUGGAGGGAAAAGGGAAAUCAUUUGUACAGGUUUGAUGCUUUAAGAUCAACAGUUUCUUCAUCAGUUUAAAGAAUGUUGUGUCGUUUCUGUUCCAUCCUCUGGACGGACGGACGGACAGACAGACAAAUCCUGGAAUCUUCUUUUUCUUUUGGCUUUUUCCUUCUGGAGGUCGCCUUAGCCAAUCAGCUUCCUCCUAUCAUAGAUCUGAUUCUCAUAUUUGGCUUGGCAAGGACUGGACAUCAGAUGCCCUCCCUGACCCAACCCUCUGUGUUUUUCCCGGCUUGGGACCAUCCCAAUCAGACCCUGGCUUGGGCCCCUCGUGGCUACAUUGGUAUCAUGCUGCUAAAUAAAGUCAACAUCAGUAAACGCACUUGAACUGGCUCUACUUAUUAAAAGGAUUUCUCAGAUGGGCAUAAGGCUUUAGGGUGAAACCAAACUAAAGUUAUGCUUUCUUGUUUGACAGCAUUGGGGGGGUGGGGUGGGGGGUUUAAUUGACCAACAGGUUUUAAACUCGUUAGUGGGCUCCAAUGUGAACAACAACCUUGACAUUUCUUCUAAGGUCACUAAAGCCUGAACAGAUUUCUUUGAGCUGGUACACCAUGACACGUAGGUCAGACAGUCAUGAUGACAUCAGAUUCUUCACAGUAAAAGCUCUGAAAUGACGGGUCAAUGUUUGAAACCAGGAGGGAAUUGUUUGAAUGAAGAUGAUGAUGAAGACUCUUCACUGGUUUUUAUUCACAUGUCUAAGUGUGGGAGGGCGGGUAAACGGUGGUCAUGCCGUACCAAUAAAGGAGUACUGGUAGAGCUCCUGGAGGUGAGCUGGAGCUGGGGGGGGCCUGUAAAUGAUCUUUCCGUUGUCCACGUCCGCCUGUGUGAAACGCAUCACGGCUGUGUAUGGUCUGUCCCGGUGCUCAAUGGUCCCUGAAACAAACAGCACAGAAGGAGGGGCUUAAUGUUGGGCUUUAGCGUUUAAAAACCAUUACCAGAGUUACAGGUUUAUUUUCUGGUUAAAUUCAACUCUACAGGUGUCAUUAUCAGGACCAGAUCAGUGAGAUCAUAAGACGGGGGGGACCAUGGAGAUGACACAAUAUGAGAGUUAGGAUGAAAAAGACAAAUGCAACACGGCAGGAGAGCCCACCAGGUCAGAGGAGGCUGUACCACACUCCCACCCUGAGCUUGGGUACACAGCCCCAACAGAUACACUGAGGCAGCAACUGACCUGGAAGACAACAUGUCUAGAAUGACCACUAGGCAACCCCAACACCAGCUGC